AUUGAACGCUGGCGGCAGGCCUAACACAUGCAAGUCGAGCGGAUGAAGGGAGCUUGCUCCUGGAUUCAGCGGCGGACGGGUGAGUAAUGCCUGGAAUCUGCCUGGUAGUGGGGGAUAACGUCCGGAAACGGGCGCUAAUACCGCAUACGUCCUGAGGGAGAAAGUGGGGGAUCUUCGGACCUCACGCUAUCAGAUGAGCCUAGGUCGGAUUAGCUAGUUGGUGGGGUAAAGGCCUACCAAGGCGACGAUCCGUAACUGGUCUGAGAGGAUGAUCAGUCACACUGGAACUGAGACACGGUCCAGACUCCUACGGGAGGCAGCAGUGGGGAAUAUUGGACAAUGGGCGAAAGCCUGAUCCAGCCAUGCCGCGUGUGUGAAGAAGGUCUUCGGAUUGUAAAGCACUUUAAGUUGGGAGGAAGGGCAGUAAGUUAAUACCUUGCUGUUUUGACGUUACCAACAGAAUAAGCACCGGCUAACUUCGUG
rnacentral:rRNA from 1 species